rnacentral:sRNA from 1 species
UGGUAGAUGCACCCUGAUGGCACACCCUGGAGCGUCCAACGUUCCAGGGUUUUUUUAU